GACGAACGCUGGCGGCGUGCUUAACACAUGCAAGUCGAACGAAGAGCGAUGGAAGCUUGCUUCUAUCAAUCUUAGUGGCGAACGGGUGAGUAACGCGUAAUCAACCUGCCCUUCAGAGGGGGACAACAGUUGGAAACGACUGCUAAUACCGCAUACGAUCUAAUCUCGGCAUCGAGGAUAGAUGAAAGGCGGCCUCUACAUGUAAGCUAUCACUGAAGGAGGGGAUUGCGUCUGAUUAGCUAGUUGGAGGGGUAACGGCCCACCAAGGCGAUGAUCAGUAGCCGGUCUGAGAGGAUGAACGGCCACAUUGGGACUGAGACACGGCCCAGACUCCUACGGGAGGCAGCAGUGGGGAAUCUUCCGCAAUGGACGAAAGUCUGACGGAGCAACGCCGCGUGAGUGAUGACGGCCUUCGGGUUGUAAAGCUCUGUUAAUCGGGACGAAAGGCCUUCUUGCGAAUAGUGAGAAGGAUUGACGGUACCGGAAGAGAAAGCCACGGCUAACUACGUG
rnacentral:rRNA from 1 species